AUGCUCACGCGUGGGGGAGCGGUGCUGCUCCGGCGAGCUCACGCGUGGGGGAGCGGUGCUGCUCCGGCGAGCUCCUUCCCCCUCGAGCACGGCGCGUCGUCGACAGCCUCCAUCCUCUUCUUCCCUCUUCCAUCAGCCGAGCACAACUCCGUUUCACAGGUCCUUCAGAAAAUGGGAAAAGUGGGUUUUCUUCCAUGUUUAUCUACAAAAUGUUUCAAUGCCUCUGUUUAUAGGAGGCACGGAGAUGUUUCCUGGACGGAUGUGCAAUCUGGUUUAAAUGGGCGAUGGCACAAAAUUAGGCUCUUAGGAGUCGGAAUGGCGCUCUUAGAUGCCCAUUUGAUUUCAGUGGAGCUGGUGCUUGUGUGUUCAGAUGAAGACAUGAAUUGUGUGAGGGAUUAG
rnacentral:rRNA from 1 species